rnacentral:rRNA from 1 species
CACGUAGUUAGCCGGUGCUUCUUCUGCAGGUACCGUCACUUUCGCUUCUUCCCUGCUGAAAGAGGUUUACAACCCGAAGGCCGUCAUCCCUCACGCGGCGUCGCUGCAUCAGGCUUUCGCCCAUUGUGCAAUAUUCCCCACUGCUGCCUCCCGUAGGAGUCUGGGCCGUGUCUCAGUCCCAGUGUGGCCGGCCGCCCUCUCAGGCCGGCUACCCGUCGUCGCCUUGGUGAGCCAUUACCUCACCAACAAGCUGAUAGGCCGCGAGCCCAUCCCAAACCGAAAACUUUCCAGACCAUAACCAUGCGGCUUGAUCUCGUAUCCAGUAUUAGACGCCGUUUCCAGCGCUUAUUCCAGAGUCUGGGGCAGGUUGCUCACGUGUUACUCACCCGUUCGCCACUGAUCCACUCCAGCAAGCUGGAGCUUCACCGUUCGACUUGCAUGUGUUAAGCACGCCGCCAGCGUUGUCCUGAGCCAGGACUCAACUCUCUACG